AACGAACGCUGGCGGCAUGCCUAACACAUGCAAGUCGAACGAGACCUUCGGGUCUAGUGGCGCACGGGUGCGUAACGCGUGGGAACCUGCCCUUAGGUUCGGAAUAACUCCCCGAAAGGGGUGCCAAUACCGGAUAAUGUCUUCGGACCAAAGAUUUAUCGCCUUUGGAUGGGCCCGCGUUGGAUUAGCUAGUUGUUAGGGUAAAAGCCUACCAAGGCGACGAUCCAUAGCUGGUCUGAGAGGAUGAUCAGCCACACUGAGACUGAGACACGGCCCAGACUCCUACGGGAGGCAGCAGUGGGGAAUAUUGGACAAUGGGCGAAAGCCUGAUCCAGCAAUGCCGCGUGAGUGAUGAAGGCCUUAGGGUUGUAAAGCUCUUUUACCCAGGAUGAUAAUGACAGUACCGGGAGAAUAAGCUCCGGCUAACUCCGUG
rnacentral:rRNA from 1 species